rnacentral:rRNA from 1 species
UACGUAGGGUGCAAGCGUUGUCCGGAAUUAUUGGGCGUAAAGAGCUCGUAGGCGGUCUGUUGCGUCUGCUGUGAAAACUCGGGGCUUAACCCCGAGCCUGCAGUGGAUACGGGCAGACUAGAGGUAGGUAGGGAGAAUGGAAUUCCCGGUGUAGCGGUGAAAUGCGCAGAUAUCGGGAGGAACACCGGUGGCGAAGGCGGUUCUCUGGGCCUUACCUGACGCUGAGGAGCGAAAGCGUGGGGAGCGAACAGG